GUGUUCACUUUGGCAGCACAUAAACUAAAACUGGAACGAUACAGAGAAGAUUAGCAUGGCCCCUGCACAAGGAUGACAAGCAAAUUCUUGGAAGUGUUCCAUAUUUUU
ensembl:snRNA U6 U6 spliceosomal RNA